UAUGACGUUCGCAGCUAAACCACUUUUAGGUCUUCUGCGGCACACUUCUGUUACCUGAUCUUCAUCUGAGAAAUAUCACCAACUACUUUUCAUCACGGAAAAAUGGCUUUCAAAAGUCCAACAAAAAGCCCCCAUGCAGAAGGAGAACAGUUUACAGUAAUGAGAAACCAGUUGUUUGUUAGCAUAUUCUGUGUUGGAUGAGGUGGUGUGCAGAAUGGUACUGCAACAGGAGCUGACGGAGCUGGGGGUCACAGUGAUGAGAAAAGUCGCUGCACUCGAUGCAGAAAAAAAGUUUUAUGUUGAGCAAUAUGUUGAGUCCAUUUCAGGUUAAUCUCUGUAAAUAUAUGGCUUUUUUUAGUUACUUUACUGAAGUUACUCUGUCUUUAUACAGUAAUUUACUUUUAAAAUACAGUUUAUCUUUGUAAAAUAACUAAGAAAUAAUGUAUAAAAACGUUAUAAGUAUGUGAAAAUACAUUAAA